ACCAACUCAGUCUUCUCCAAGCCUCUUGGUGGACUCAGAGGAGGACAGGGAGGCAGCCACUCUGGCCGGCCAGGGCCCUCCUCCCAGGUCCCUGGAACACAGGCGCACCAACCACAGCUGCGUCCUGGCCUGGGCAUCACGUGACGUCCCAGAGUGAUUCACGCUGCUAUUUCAGUGCUGCUGCAGUCAAGGGUAGGGAGAGGCAUGGCGAGGCUGUAUCUGGAGUCAGCUUGGAGGCCGUAGUUCCUGCAGCAGUGGCACUGAAGAGUCUCUUUCUGUCACCCGGUCUGGAGUGAAGUGGCGCAGUCUCAGCUCUCUGCAACCUCUGCCUCCCAGGUUCAAGCAAUUCUUCUGCCUCAGCCUCCCAAGUAGCUGGGAUUACAGUUCUGGAGGCUGCAAGCCCAGGUUCAAGGCAUCAGCAGGUGUGGUUUCCUCCGAGGCCUCUCCCCGUGGCUUGCAGAUGGCUGCCUUCUUCCUGCAUCCUCACGUGGUCCCUCCUCUGCACUCCAGCAUCCUUAAUGUCUCUUUGUGUGUCCAACUUUCCGCCCCCCCCCACCCCUUUUUUUUCUGAUGGAGUCCACCCAGACUGGAGUACAGUGGCGUGAUCUCAGCUCACUG
rnacentral:lncRNA from 1 species